rnacentral:rRNA from 1 species
AGUGAACGCUGGCGGUAGGCCUAACACAUGCCAGUCGAACGGCAGCACAGUAAGAGCUUGCUCUUACGGGUGGCGAGUGGCGGACGGGUGAGGAAUACAUCGGAAUCUACUUUUUCGUGGGGGAUAACGUAGGGAAACUUACGCUAAUACCGCAUACGACCUACGGGUGAAAGCAGGGGAUCUUCGGACCUUGCGCGAUUGAAUGAGCCGAUGUCGGAUUAGCUAGUUGGCGGGGUAAAGGCCCACCAAGGCGACGAUCCGUAGCUGGUCUGAGAGGAUGAUCAGCCACACUGGAACUGAGACACGGUCCAGACUCCUACGGGAGGCAGCAGUGGGGAAUAUUGGACAAUGGGCGCAAGCCUGAUCCAGCCAUACCGCGUGGGUGAAGAAGGCCUUCGGGUUGUAAAGCCCUUUUGCUGGGAAAGAAAAGCAGCAGGUUAAUACCCCGCUGUUCGGACGGUACCCAAAGAAUAAGCACCGGCUAACUUCGU